GGAUCCAGACUUUGUUCUGGCUCAGGACGAACGCUGGCGGCGUGCUUAACACAUGCAAGUCGAACGAGAAGAGAUGAGAAGCUUGCUUCUUAUCGAUUCGAGUGGCAAACGGGUGAGUAACGCGUAAGCAACCUGCCCUCUAGAUGGGGACAACAGCUGGAAACGGCUGCUAAUACCGAAUACGUUCUUUCUGCCGCAUGGCAGAAGGAAGAAAGGGAGGCUCUUCGGAGCUUUCGCUGGAGGAGGGGCUUGCGUCUGAUUAGCUAGUUGGAGGGGUAACGGCCCACCAAGGCGACGAUCAGUAGCCGGUCUGAGAGGAUGAACGGCCACAUUGGGACUGAGACACGGCCCAGACUCCUACGGGAGGCAGCAGUGGGGAAUCUUCCGCAAUGGACGAAAGUCUGACGGAGCAACGCCGCGUGAACGAUGACGGCCUUCGGGUUGUAAAGUUCUGUUAUACGGGACGAAUGGUAC
rnacentral:rRNA from 1 species